AGAGUUUGAUCAUGGCUCAGAAUCAACGCUGGCGGCGUGCCUAACACAUGCAAGUCGAACGAGAAAGUGGAGCAAUCCAUGAGUAAAGUGGCGACCGGGUGAGUAACACGUGACUAACCUACCCUGAAGUGGGGAAUAACCUCGGGAAACCGGGGCUAAUACCGCAUAACAUCGCGAGGGGAAGAUCCUUGCGAUCAAAGGAGCAAUUCGCUUUAGGAGGGGGUCGCGGCUGAUUAGUUAGUUGGUGAGGUAACGGCUCACCAAGACAAAGAUCAGUAUCCGGCCUGAGAGGGCGCACGGACACACUGGAACUGAAACACGGUCCAGACUCCUACGGGAGGCAGCAGUGGGGAAUUUUGCGCAAUGGGGGAAACCCUGACGCAGCAACGCCGCGUGGAGGAUGAAGUCCCUUGGGAUGUAAACUCCUUUCGAUCGGGACGAUUAUGACGGUACCGGAAGAAGAAGCACCGGCUAACUCUGUGCCAGCCGCCGCGGUAAUAC
rnacentral:rRNA from 1 species